rfam:Callithrix jacchus chromosome 11, whole genome shotgun sequence
CAGCCGCAACCCCAGGGACCACUGCGCACUCCCCAGCCGCCCUCGGGGAGUCACCCAGCGGCCACGGACAAUUGAAUAAACACGCCAAAGCGCUGCGGUCGGUCACUGGCGGGGGCAGCCA